UAAAAUCAAAGAACAAUGAAGAAGGGAGAAGAAACACUUUUUUCUACUUUUAUUUUGAUACCAUUACAAAUUUAGUUUUAGAGCAUAUUUGAUGAAAAGAAAAAUGAAUCUUUACCAUAAUUAAUAAUAUAUAAUUAAAUAUUUUUUAUUCCACUCAUGUAACUAAAUGAAAAAGAAUGCAUAAAAACAUGACUUCUUAAAGUACAUGCAAAUGUAUAUGCAUGUUUUAUACAUAAGCACAUUCUAUACAAAACAUAAGAAAAAGAAAGUGUUAUUUUGAGAUCUCUCCUUUACUAUAUAUGACUAUAACAUGUUUUGGUAAAUAUUUUAUUUCAUAAAAUAGCCAUAAUCUUAUCCAUUCACCAUAUAUUCUCUCUUAAUACUAUGUAUGGGUGUUCUUCUGCGAAGUCAUUGAUAGAUCAAAUAUAACAAAUAUGACAAUAUUAA
rnacentral:lncRNA from 1 species